GAGCCAGAAUACCCUUGAAUUAUUAGAAAUAGUUCUAAAAUAUCCUCCUUCCGUCUUUAGGCUCUAAAAUGUCCUUUCAUGCAUCUAUAUAGCUCAAAAAUAUCCUUCCACUUAACACAUGGCAGCUUGUUAUAAGUUAAAAAUUUAAUUAUUUUCAAAACCCAACCUAAUUUUCAUUUAAACUAUCCACCCAUCUACCCAGCCCAAUGACCCGACCCAAACAUAAUAACUAAAGGAAAAAAACUAUUCUAGACAACAACAUUUCAUCUUCUCAAAAAUUGAAUCGCGAUUUUUGAAUUUCAGCAAAAAUCAUAGUGAACAGCUCCUUGUCUAUUUUCCAGUUAACCUCAUCGGUGAAGGAAGGGGCAAAUCCAUUUUUCUAAACCUAAUUUCCUUCAAAGACGAUCAACAAAACGUCUUCAUCAUUUUGAAGCGAAAUUUUUUGACAAAAGUGACGGCGAAGCGGAAUGCUUCUGUUGACACACAUACAUAUCUUCAUCAUUUAUCGGCAAUUCAGACCCUGGUGACUGAGAAUGUGUGGUCCAUCGACGAGCGGGUGUUGAGUAUCACAGGGAUCUGCUACGGAAAAUGGGGAACGUGCAGGUUCUCCAUGAAGCAAGAAGUGCAAAUGUAGCAGCUGAUAGAUUAGCGAAGGAGGGCAAUAAGUUAGCACGUGUUUGUUUUUGCGAAGAAUGGGAAGUUCCCCCAUUGUUUAUCCGGAACCAGCUGGAAUUAGACAAGUCAGGAACUUGCCAUGUAGAUGUGUGUCAGCCUAACUCGUUAAAUUGUGAAUAAAUUUUAAUACUUAAUUAUUAAAGAAAAUCAUUGAUGCCAAUAA